AAAACAAUCUGACAACUCUGAUCUCUGUUACAUGAUUGGCCAUCGCAGCGUGACGUCAGGUUGCAUUUCUCGAAAAGUUGAAUCGGUCUCAACUUUUCAUCGCAGGCCC